UGCAUGCUGCAUGAAAGCCAAGAAAGGGUUUGACACACCAGGGGACCAGCAGAAGGGUCUGCAAUCUAGUAAAAAACAGAGUUAUACAGAAAACCUAUCUAAUAAGAUCAAGAGGCCAGAAUCAGAGGGUCCAGUACUGCAAAAAAUCCAUAGAACUGCUCACGUUGCCUUCCAGACUUAGAUGUUCAUUUGGGACUGAUAAAAGUCCCAUAUUUUACUUCCUUGUCCCAGUCCAACUACAAAAGAUUACAGAAGGUUAAGAAAAGUGUCAAAUGGCAGGGGCAGAAUCCUAAGACUUCAGAAUACAUUGAAGAAUCUACAUUUUUGGAUUUCAUGAUUUCUGACAUACUUUUUGUUGACUAUUACUGAUACCCUUAAAUUGUGAAAACAAUAUAUAUUCCAGAUUUAAUACCUAACCUCAAAGAACUAAUGGAAUUGUCAGCCAAGUGCUGGAAGAAGUGAAAGAAAAACAUAAAACACUUGAAGGAAAAAAAUAAAUAUCUUUUUCAUAGAAGACAUACCAAGCAUCAUUUGUCUUAAGCCGAAACAGCCUUAACCAUGAAAAUUAUAAUAUAAACCGCUUGUCACACAAUAAAUUAUAUG